rnacentral:lncRNA from 1 species
AGUCCUAAUUGGAUUAGGGUUUCUUAAGUCCUAAUUAAUUAUUAAUCUCAUGAAUCAACAUGACUUCUAAUUGGGUUAGGAUUGAAGAGUUCAAUUGAGUCAUGGUUCAUUCAAGUUCUAAUUGGAUUAGGACUAACAAAGAUUGAACCCGAUUGAUUUAUGAUUUGGUUAAACCCUAAAUUAGAUUAGGGCUAAACCAUGAGAGGGACACCUAAUCCUCCUUGGAGGAGGAUUAGGUUAACCAGGUAAGAGGGGAAUGAGCCCCUCUCAUCUUCAUGGGUGCGGCAACACAAGAGGCGCCGACGCCCCUCUUGGAAAAGAUUUAGGGCUCCUAAUUUGUAGGAGCCCUAGGUACUUUAAAAGGAGGUGAAAAGGGGGCGGCGCCCUAGAAUUGAUGCUCUCCUCCUUGCAGCCGUGGCCUCCCUCUCCUCCUUCUCCAUCUUCAGCCGCAAGCAAAGGAAAGCAAGGGAAGUUUUGUUUG